AUUGAACGCUGGCGGCAGGCCUAACACAUGCAAGUCGAACGAGUGGCGGACGGGUGAGUAAUGUAUGGGAAACUGCCUGAUGGAGGGGGAUAACUACUGGAAACGGUAGCUAAUACCGCACACCAUCAGAUGUGCCCAGGUGGGAUUAGCUAGUUGGUGGGGUAACGGCUUACCAAGGCGACGAGCCCUAGCUGGUCUGAGAGGAUGACCAGCCACACUGGAACUGAGACACGGUCCAGACUCCUACGGGAGGCAGCAGUGGGGAAUAUUGGACAAUGGGCGAAAGCCUGAUGCAGCCAUGCCGCGUGUAUGAAGAAGGCCUUCGGGUUGUAAAGUACUUUCAGCGGGGAGGCGUUACCCGCAGAAGAAGCACCGGCUAACUCCGUGCCAGCAGCCGCGGUAAUAC
rnacentral:rRNA from 1 species